rnacentral:rRNA from 1 species
UUAAGCGACUAAGCGUACACGGUGGAUGCCCUGGCAGUCAGAGGCGAUGAAGGACGUGCUAAUCUGCGAUAAGCGUCGGUAAGGUGAUAUGAACCGUUAUAACCGGCGAUUUCCGAAUGGGGAAACCCAGUGUGUUUCGACACACUAUCAUUAACUGAAUCCAUAGGUUAAUGAGGCGAACCGGGGGAACUGAAACAUCUAAGUACCCCGAGGAAAAGAAAUCAACCGAGAUUCCCCCAGUAGCGGCGAGCGAACGGGGAGCAGCCCAGAGCCUGAAUCAGUGUGUGUGUUAGUGGAAGCGUCUGGAAAGGCGCGCGAUACAGGGUGACAGCCCCGUACACAAAAAUGCACAUGCUGUGAGCUCGAUGAGUAGGGCGGGACACGUGGUAUCCUGUCUGAAUAUGGGGGGACCAUCCUCCAAGGCUAAAUACUCCUGACUGACCGAUAGUGAACCAGUACCGUGAGGGAAAGGCGAAAAGAACCCCGGCGAGGGGAGUGAAAAAGAACCUGAAACCGUGUACGUACAAGCAGUGGGAGCCUCUUUAUGGGGUGACUGCGUACCUUUUGUAUAAUGGGUCAGCGACUUAUAUUCUGUAGCAAGGUUAACCGAAUAGGGGAGCCGAAGGGAAACCGAGUCUUAACUGGGCGUUAAGUUGCAGGGUAUAGACCCGAAACCCGGUGAUCUAGCCAUGGGCAGGUUGAAGGUUGGGUAACACUAACUGGAGGACCGAACCGACUAAUGUUGAAAAAUUAGCGGAUGACUUGUGGCUGGGGGUGAAAGGCCAAUCAAACCGGGAGAUAGCUGGUUCUCCCCGAAAGCUAUUUAGGUAGCGCCUCGUGAAUUCAUCUCCGGGGGUAGAGCACUGUUUCGGCAAGGGGGUCAUCCCGACUUACCAACCCGAUGCAAACUGCGAAUACCGGAGAAUGUUAUCACGGGAGACACACGGCGGGUGCUAACGUCCGUCGUGAAGAGGGAAACAACCCAGACCGCCAGCUAAGGUCCCAAAGUCAUGGUUAAGUGGGAAACGAUGUGGGAAGGCCCAGACAGCCAGGAUGUUGGCUUAGAAGCAGCCAUCAUUUAAAGAAAGCGUAAUAGCUCACUGGUCGAGUCGGCCUGCGCGGAAGAUGUAACGGGGCUAAACCAUGCACCGAAGCUGCGGCAGCGACGCUUAUGCGUUGUUGGGUAGGGGAGCGUUCUGUAAGCCUGUGAAGGUGUACUGUGAGGUAUGCUGGAGGUAUCAGAAGUGCGAAUGCUGACAUAAGUAACGAUAAAGCGGGUGAAAAGCCCGCUCGCCGGAAGACCAAGGGUUCCUGUCCAACGUUAAUCGGGGCAGGGUGAGUCGACCCCUAAGGCGAGGCCGAAAGGCGUAGUCGAUGGGAAACAGGUUAAUAUUCCUGUACUUGGUGUUACUGCGAAGGGGGGACGGAGAAGGCUAUGUUGGCCGGGCGACGGUUGUCCCGGUUUAAGCGUGUAGGCUGGUUUUCCAGGCAAAUCCGGAAAAUCAAGGCUGAGGCGUGAUGACGAGGCACUACGGUGCUGAAGCAACAAAUGCCCUGCUUCCAGGAAAAGCCUCUAAGCAUCAGGUAACAUCAAAUCGUACCCCAAACCGACACAGGUGGUCAGGUAGAGAAUACCAAGGCGCUUGAGAGAACUCGGGUGAAGGAACUAGGCAAAAUGGUGCCGUAACUUCGGGAGAAGGCACGCUGAUGCGUAGGUGAAGUCCCUUGCGGAUGGAGCUGAAAUCAGUCGAAGAUACCAGCUGGCUGCAACUGUUUAUUAAAAACACAGCACUGUGCAAACACGAAAGUGGACGUAUACGGUGUGACGCCUGCCCGGUGCCGGAAGGUUAAUUGAUGGGGUUAGCGGUAACGCGAAGCUCUUGAUCGAAGCCCCGGUAAACGGCGGCCGUAACUAUAACGGUCCUAAGGUAGCGAAAUUCCUUGUCGGGUAAGUUCCGACCUGCACGAAUGGUGUAAUGAUCCGGACGCUGUCUCAACCGUGAUUCCAGUGAAAUUGUAGUAUCGGUGAAGAUGCCGAUUACCCGCGAUGGGACGAAAAGACCCCGUGAACCUUUACUGCAGCUUAGCGCUGACCCCGGCCAUCCGAUGUGUAGGAUAGGCCGGAGGCUUUGAACCCGCGGCGCCAGCCGCGGCGGAGCCUUCCUUGAAAUACGGCCCUUCGGCUGUCUGGGGUCUAACCCGCUUGUUUCGGGGACACCGCUUGGCGGGCAGUUUGACUGGGGUGGUCGCCUCCAAAAGCGUAACGGAGGCUUCCAAAGGUGCCCUCGGGCCGUUCGGUAACCGGCCUUAUGGAGUGCAAUGGCAUAAGGGCGCCUGACUGGGAGGGGGACACCCCGAGCAGGCAGGAAACUGGGGCAUAGUGAUCCGGCGGACGUGCAUGGAAACUCCGUCGCUCAAAGGAUAAAAGGUACUCCGGGGAUAACAGGCUGAUCCCCCCCAAGAGCUCAUAUCGACGGGGUGGUUUGGCACCUCGAUGUCGGCUCGUCACAUCCUGGGGCUGGAGAAGGUCCCAAGGGUUGGGCUGUUCGCCCAUUAAAGUGGCACGCGAGCUGGGUUCAGAACGUCGUGAGACAGUUCGGUCUCUAUCUAUCGUGGGCGUUGGAGUUUUGCGCGGGUCUGACACUAGUACGAGAGGACCGUGUCGGACGGACCUCCGGUCUGCCGGUUGUGCCGCCAGGCGCACCGCCGGGUAGCCGCGUCCGGCCGGGAUAAGCGCUGAAGGCAUCUAAGCGCGAAGCCCUCCGCAAGAUGAGAACUCCUUGAUAUGAGGGCCGUCAGAGACGAUGACGUUGAUAGGGCGCAGGUGUAAAGGCGGCGACGCCAAAGCCGAGCGCUACUAAUUGCCCGAAGCUUUCCCCGU